AGUGAACGCUGGCGGUAGGCCUAACACAUGCAAGUCGAACGGCAGCACAGUAAGAGCUUGCUCUUACGGGUGGCGAGUGGCGGACGGGUGAGGAAUACAUCGGAAUCUACUUUUUCGUGGGGGAUAACGUAGGGAAACUUACGCUAAUACCGCAUACGACCUACGGGUGAAAGCAGGGGAUCUUCGGACCUUGCGCGAUUGAAUGAGCCGAUGUCGGAUUAGCUAGUUGGCGGGGUAAAGGCCCACCAAGGCGACGAUCCGUAGCUGGUCUGAGAGGAUGAUCAGCCACACUGGAACUGAGACACGGUCCAGACUCCUACGGGAGGCAGCAGUGGGGAAUAUUGGACAAUGGGCGCAAGCCUGAUCCAGCCAUACCGCGUGGGUGAAGAAGGCCUUCGGGUUGUAAAGCCCUGUUGUUGGGAAAGAAAAGAAGCAGGUUAAUACCCCGCUGUUCUGACGGUACCCAAAGAAUAAGCACCGGCUAACUUCGUG
rnacentral:rRNA from 1 species